rnacentral:lncRNA from 1 species
CUAGUUGACAAUGAUGCCGACGACACUGCCGGUGACUCGCAGCAGCGGGCGCGCGCCUCUCCACACUCCAGCGAGCGUGCUGGUGGGCGUGCCUACAACCACCGCCACCAUCUCGUCCGCAUUCCUAUCCACCAUUCCGAUGGGUCCGAUGCAGCGGCGGCAACGGAGGGUGAUGAUCGAAGAGCUCGGUCCAACGAUAACGACGGCUGCGCAGAUGAUCGGGAUUUGAGGGAGGUUAUGGUUUAUGGAGGGGUUCGGUGGCGUGAUGGAGAGGGAGGGGGCGGAGCGAGGGACGGCACAAUACAGAGGGAGGACAACCGGAGAAGAAGGCGCGGGUUGGGCGGGAUGGGAAGGCGGCGCGUCGGUGGGGUGAGGAGGCGGCGCGCUGAGGAGGAAGGAUGGGGGGCUGGGGAGUGCGAUGCGGAUCAGGGAGAUGAGAAGUGGUGCGACGGGUGGAUCGUGGGAGAAAAUCUCAUCCGCUGA